rnacentral:tRNA from 1 species
GGGCGCAUAGCUCAGCUGGGAGAGCACCUGCCUUACAAGCAGGGGGUCACAGGUUCGAGCCAGUUGGUUAGAGUGCCGGCCUGUCACGCCGG